UGGUGUUAAUUGGUGCAUUUGCGGAAGGAGUGCGCUGAGUGGCAUGGUGCAGCGGUUUGAUGUUGGUUAAGAGGCUAUGCUUCGGUGUAGAACCUGAUCCUUCGUAAGGCCGAUUGUGCUGUGUUGAAUCGACUAUGGCUUACGUGAUAAGUUGUCGGCUUUGUGGGGUCUUGUGGCGGUCGCAUGCGACACGUGCUUGAUUCUGUCCUGCUGGCGGCGGUUCACUCUUAGUCUAGCUCGGUGUAAAAGCUGGUCAUCUAUCCGACCCGUCUUGAAACACGGACCAAGGAGUUUAGCGUGUACGCGAGUCAUUGAGUGUAAAACUCAUAGGCGCAAUGAAAGUAAAGGCCAUUCUGUGGCUGAUAUGCGACCCUGCGUGUUUCGGCAUGUGGGAGCAGCAUAGCCCAGUCUCUAUUGCUUGCAAUGGGGCUGAGGUAGAGCGUAUUCGCUGAGACCCGAAAGAUGGUGAACUAUGCCUGAGCAGGAUGAAGCCAGAGGAAACUCUGGUGGAAGUCCGAAGCGGUUCUGACGUGCAAAUCGAUCGUCUGACUUGGGUAUA
rnacentral:rRNA from 1 species